rnacentral:rRNA from 1 species
UAUCUCUGUAGAGUCUGCAUAUCAAUAAGCGGAGGAAAAGAAACUAACUAGGAUUCCCUUAGUAACGGCGAGUGAAGCGGGAAGAGCUCAAAUUUGAAAUCUUCAAGGUUCUACCUUGACGAAUUGUAGUUUAUAGAAGUGUUUUCUGUUAGUAGAGUUGGCUAAAAGUUCUUUGGAAUAGGACAUCAUAGAGGGUGAGAAUCCCGUAUUUGGUCAUUCUUUCUAGCUUUGUGAUACACUUUCAACGAGUCGGAUUGUUUGGGAAUGCAAUCCAAAAUGGGUGGUAAAUUUCAUCUAAAGCUAAAUAUUGGCGAGAGACCGAUAGCGAACAAGUACCGUGAGGGAAAGAUGAAAAGAACUUUGAAAAGAGAGUUAAACAGUACGUGAAAUUGUCAAAAGGGAAGCGUUUGACACCAGUGUUGUUUUUCCGAAAAUCAAUUACGAAUGUUUUGUUUUUAAGAAGUUAUGACUUCAUCGGCUCGCUUCUUUCUUUACGAAACUUUCUUAAUGCACUUUUCGGUUAACAAGUCAACAUCAAUUUCUUUUGUUGUAAAAGGGUAUGAGGAAGGUGGCUUUCUUUUCGGAGAAAGUGUUUAUAGCCUUUGAUCUCUGUAACCGGAGAGACUGAGGUCUGCAGCGUAGACUCUUCGGGGUUAGAUACAUUUGUGCUAAGCUAUGGCUUUUUAUAGACAACUUGUUGACUAUAUUUAGUCUUGUGGCUUACUCGCUUAUGCUAUUUUACCUACGCUUAGGAUGUUGAUGUGAUACUGCGAGC